CUAUUUUAAUUAUCUAACUUAACGCAGUCUUCACAAAUAGUAGUAAACCUUCUACGUCAGGGAGAACUAGGCUGGCCGACCAGUGGGUUGGAAUGCCUCAAAUGUGAGUUUCAUCUGUGGAAAAUUGGGGCUUGCAAAAUUAGUGCUGUUGGAUGAUUCUGGUCACCCAGGUAUUCAUGUUUAUUUUGAAAAUUAAGGGAUCUGGUCUCAGUGUGAACAGAGCAACAGAAAGCAGUUUGUAUGGUUAUCAAAAUAUUGUCAGUACUACAGACAAUAGGGUAAGCCUGGCCACCAUGAAGGAGAAUUCCAAGCCUCAAGGUAGAAGACAAGAGGGAGAGCUUGAUUUUUGAGUCUCUAUAAAUCGGUGCAACUUCUAGAAAGACUGAAUCACUGGUUUUCAGGUUAUCAACAGCAGCAUGUACCACAUCAUUUUGGACAUAAGGUUUGUGGCUGACAAACCAAUUAGUUGUGAGCUCCUAGGUGUUAGGGAUUGUGCUAGACUCACUUUCAGCCCUAGCGUUUAGCACAGCACCUGAAACAUAGAAAGUCCUUAAUAAAUACUGUUCAGAGCUACUGCUUGAGGCACAACUGUCAACAGGGACAAUCAUAAAGCUCUACAGAAGCAAGUAAUUUAGUUCACUCAAGAUUCUUCUCCCUACCGGUCUUACCCAAGAUGAAUAGCAAAGGAGUAUUUUGAUUGGGGGAGGGUGAAAGUGUGGAUGGUUUUAUAAAUGAAGACAGAUCAAUAAUAUUAUAGCGAUGGUCAUUUCUUAUGUAUCUAAUAUUUCAUAAAGGAAAAAAAUUCAGAAGAAGAAAGAGUAGAAAGAGGAAUCUGUGAUCUUUUCAAUUAAUGUAAUGGAGAUCUCAAUUUAGCUCGAACAGCCCAACAUGCCUGGGCCUGUCUAUUGAAUUGGUGGGAGCAGCUGCCAGAGGCCUGUUUGCUUAUGGAUUGAGGGUCCUCUUGGGAGAGUUCUCAUUCUGAAGGAAGAAGUUGCCUGGCAACAAGUCUGACCCCUGGAGACUGACUUACCCAACGGAGGAGCAAGGAAGCCUGAGUACAGUGUGGUAUCUGUCAUCCAGAUCCAUCUCCCAGCUGGAUAAGUUGAAUGGAAAUCCUCAAUCCCCUACACAAAUUACAGGGUGAAAAUAGAUGCUUGCAGAGGUGAGGACAAGGAUGCGGCCCAUUUCCAUCUCCAGCCCCACCAUGGAUCCAAAAGGAAAUCUGAAGAAAGAAAAAAGAAAAAUGGACCAUCAGACCAUGGCUUCCACCUUUUGCUUACAAAAUAUGUUCAUAAUACAUAUGUGACUUACCUAGCAUUUUCCCUGUGAUACCAAGUGGAGGUAGGGGAAAGGAAAGAAUAUGCACUCCCAGGCAAAGCUUUGGCAGAUGAAAAUUUAACUUGAAGACCUCACCAUCCCUUUUCUGCUACCUUUUCCCAACCAUGAUGUGUCCCUCUCCCUGAGAGCUCCUGUCCCUUAUGACUCCAUGCCUCUUGAGGCUCUGCUCCAGAAAGCCUUUAACAAGUUUAC